CAUAGGUUUGGUCCCAGCCUUCCUGUUAACUCUUAAUAAACUUACACAUGCAAGCAUCUACACCCCAGUGAGAAUGCCCUCUAGGUUAUUAAAACUAAGAGGAGCUGGCAUCAAGCACACACCCUGUAGCUCACGACGCCUUGCUUAACCACACCCCCACGGGAAACAGCAGUGACAAAAAUUAAGCCAUAAACGAAAGUUUGACUAAGUUAUAUUAAUUAGGGUUGGUAAAUCUCGUGCCAGCCACCGCGGUCAUACGAUUAACCCAAGCUAACAGGAGUACGGCGUAAAACGUGUUAAAGCACCAUACCAAAUAGGGUUAAAUUCUAACUAAGCUGUAAAAAGCCAUGAUUAAAAUAAAAAUAAAUGACGAAAGUGACCCUACAAUAGCCGACGCACUAUAGCUAAGACCCAAACUGGGAUUAGAUACCCCACUAUGCUUAGCCCUAAACACAGAUAAUUACAUAAACAAAAUUAUUCGCCAGAGUACUACUAGCAACAGCUUAAAACUCAAAGGA
rnacentral:rRNA from 1 species